rnacentral:rRNA from 1 species
CAGUUAAAACGCUCGUAGUCGGUUUUUGGUAGUUCCGGGAGUGUGCCUGUCAUGGGCGUGCUUCGCGGGGGCUGCUUUUGUGGGUCAUGCGUUGGAUGAGGCGACUUUAUUGUUCGAACGUCCGUUACGCUACCACUGUUUACUGUGAAAAAAUUAAAGUGUUCAAAGCAGGCAAUUGUCUUGAAUACAUUAGCAUGGAAUAAUGGAAUAGGACUUGGUCUUAUUUUGUUGGUUUGUUAUGGCUGAAUAAUGAUUGAAAGGGACAGUUGGGGGCAUUUGUAUUUCAGAGCUAGAGGUGAAAUUCUUAGAUUUCUGAAAGACAAACAGCUGCGAAAGCGUCUGCCAAGGAUGUUUUCAUUGAUCAAGAACGAAAGUAAGGGGAUCGAAGACGAUCAGAUACCGUCGUAGUCUUUACUAUAAACUAUGAGGACUGGGGAUCGGGCGAGGAAUUGCGAUGACCCGCCCGGCACCCUCCGGGAAACCAAAGUGUUUGCUUUCUGGGGGGAGUAUGGUCGCAAGGCUGAAACUUAAAGGAAUUGACGGAAGGGCAUCACCGGGUGUGGAGCCUGCGGCUUAAUUUGACUCAACACGGGAAAACUUACCAGGUCAGGACAUAGUGAGGAUUGACAGAUUGAGAGCUCUUUCUUGAUUCUAUGGUUGGUGGUGCAUGGCCGUUCUUAGUUGGUGGAGUGAUUUGUCUGGUUAAUUCCGUUAACGAGCGAGACCUGGGCGUGCUAAAUAGGGGCUAUUACCGUUUUUGGUAGUAUGUUACCCCUUCUUAGACGGACUGCGGGCGUCUAGUCCGCGGAAGCUCCAGGCAAUAACAGGUCUGAGAUGCCCUUAGAUGUUCUGGGCCGCACGCGUGCUACACUGAGUGGAUCAGCGGGUCAGGUUGCGCGAAAGUGUUUCCUAAUCUUGAAAUCCGCUCGUGAUGGGGAUUGAGGGUUGCAAUUUUCCCUCAUGAACGAGGAAUACCUUGUAAGCGUGGGUCAUCAUCCCGCGCUGAAUACGUCCCUGCCCUUUGUACACACCGCCCGUCGCUCCUACCGAUUGAGUGGUCCGGUGAGGCUUUGGGAUUGCAGC